CAGGGCUAGUUAUAGUUAUAAAUGUAUUUAUAGUUAUAAACAGGGCUAAUCCUAGUUAUAAAUGUAUUGAUAUGAUUCAUAGUUAUAAACAGGGCUAGUUAUAAUUACAUUCAUAAAUAUGAAUGUAUUUAUAGUAUCUUUGAAGUUUCUCACAAUUCAAAUAAAUGAACAAACAAGAAGUCAGCGACUGCUUGUAAUUGGAUAAUAUAUGUUUUAUAGGAAUAGUGACUUAUAUACGGUAGGUGUAAUGUAAAAUGGGAAUCGACUGAACAGCGAUUUCUAGUGGCAAAGGACGGGACCGCAUGCAAAGCUGGAUCAAAACGGGGAGUUUAAAACGCACACACGUUAUGUGUGUACAAAUAAAACGCUCGAGCAUACUAUAUAUGUUGUAUUAAUGGGAGGCGUAUUCAUAAAAGGAAGACACAGGUUGAUUUAAAGGUGUUUACUGCUUGUAAACACGGUAACACAGGGCGUCCGUCCCCCAAAAGAGUCCCCGACUUUAGUUCCGCAGUCGAACACCAAACAAUGAGAGGCCGUUUCUCAAUUCCAAGUAGGGAGAGCCGGGUCGAUUGAAACACGGGACGAUUGAAACACAGCGAUUUACUCGAAAACCACGCAAGGCUUUCACGUCAAAAUUCGUCACUACGUUCAGCAAGCAAGACUGGCCAACCCCGGGAAAUGUUGUGUAAUGACGUCACGCCGUUCAGAUGUUAUCCCGCAAACUUGUUUUCGAGAGCUUUUACUGAGAGAAAAAUGCCACGCGUAAAGAAGAACCAUGUCGCGUUGUCACGCUACCUCAAGGGGAGGGCAGAGGAGGGCAGUGAAGCCAUUCAUAUUGGGCUCACCCCUAAUGAGCUGCCCAUUCCCUGCAUCCUGGUCCAGGAAGGACUGGAUCACCUCCUUCAUGGAGCGCAGUAGCAGCCUCCCCCUUCGGCGUCCAGAGGCCACUAGCCAACAACGGUUGUCCAGCUUCAAUCAAAACAAUGUCAACUUGUUCUACCAAAAUUGAAAGACGGUGCUGGACCGGCACCAGUUCCAGGCCAAGGAUAUUUGGAACAUUAAUGAAACCGGGGUCACCACUGUCCAGGUGCCAGACCGUGUCGUCGCCCAGAUGGGGCAGAAGCAGGUCGGGUCAGUGACCUCAGCGGAGAGGGGGACCCUGGACCCAAUUGAGAAUCUCUCUCUCUCUCUCUCUCUCUCUCUCUCUCUCUCUCUCUCUCUCUCUCUCUCUCUCUCUCUCGCAUAUACUGUAAAAUAGGCACACACACAGCUAUCAGAUGACAUGAAGCACCAGACAAGGACACCUUCUAAUCCCAUUUAGGAAAAGCACAUUUGGUCAACAAUCAUUUUCUGUAGAGCAAUACAAUAUUGGAAUUCACUGCCUACCGCUAUCAAAGAUAUACAUUCAUUCUCCACUUUUACAGCACACCUUAAAACGUGGCUGUCCGUCAACUACUGCACACAUUAAUCUCUGUCAGAGGUGAUGUGUCUGUCUGAUGUGUCAUUGUUGCCGCCACUCCAUCUCUGCUACCUGCCUGCGCUAUCUUUUCCCUGUCUCCUGUGUAUUGGUUUUGUGACUUGAAAUGCCUUGAUGUCUUUGCCAUCAUCUGUUCAUGUUUAUUUGUUCUUGCUCCAAUUGUGUCCAAUAUGUUUGUCUUUCUCCCCUUUUGCUUAGGCCUGCUGUAAUCAUAAAUUGAAUGUAAUAUAUUUUAUCCGUACUGUAUUUUAGGUUGCCUAUUGACAACUGGCACGGGACUACAGCUGGAAAUUUGCCAAAUAGGCUAAAGCUGCUAAGGGCCGAUACAUAGUCGACGCAUACGCGUCCUGAAGGCUUCGCGACGCGACGCUUCGGCCGCCAUUUGCGUCGACGCGUAGCAAAACGCGUCCUCCCAAUUUUGAUACGCGACGCGCCGAUCCAUGCAAUACUAUGCGUUGUCGGAGGGGGCGAUACUGCAAAUAUUGUACGUUAAUUUCAACUUUAGGUUAUAUUUACGGAAGAAAAUUCGAAUGAAAUGGCGGGCGAAGAGGAAAAAUUGUGCGAGCAAAUAAGAUUAUAUGAGCAUUUAUAUGACACUUCAUCCGUGUUACAUUCCAACAAGAAUGCUUUGGAGAAUGCGUGGAGGGAGGUUGCAAGUGCAAUGGAAAAAUCGGUUGCAAAAGUUAAAACAGACUGGAAAGCUGUCCGGGACAAAUACGCAAGAGCGCAUAAAAAGUGGAAGAUAGCGUGCAGAAGUGGUGCAGGGCAAAUAACGUUCGGCUAUCCUAAAAUCUUGACCCAACUUAGCUGGUUGAGCGAGUGCCUCAGGCACAGGUCCACCGAAUCAAAUUUUCCGGUGUGUAGGCAUAAUCAACGUGUGUGUGUGUGGAGAGAGAGACUUUUUUCAAUGUAUUUUGUAAUGGUAGGCUAUUUACUUGGUCAGGAUGUUUGAAAACAGGUGUCUUUCUGUAGGCAGGUGAGGGAGACGAUGAGGAGGAGGAGGAAAGGCCUAAUUUGCAGGCAGAUCAGGCACCUCCAUCAACCCCCAACCCCGCCUCAUCCCUAUCCCAAUUUCCACUUCUAUCUGACCCUCUAACCACUACCUCUUCCACAUCUCACCCUCCCACCACUGUGAUGGCUUCUACCUCUACCUCUUCCCUUCUUCCACCCCACCCUUCCCCCGCGACACGAGUGGCUUCUGCUACCUCUUCCUCACUAUCCGACCCUACCACCACUCUGAUGACUUCUGCCUCUUCUUCCACCCCACCCUCCCACCACCCUGACUGGAGUGGCUUCGACCGUUCCUCAGUCAGUUACCCCAUCCCCCUACCCCGACAUCAUCAGCCUCCCGUGGGGGUAAAAGAAAGAGGAAAAGCAUCAGGCCGAAUAUUGAUCCAUGCGAGACUGCCCUCCCCGAUAGGCUGCAGGAUAUUCGGCAGGAUAGAGAGAAGGAGAUGGAGAAGGCGAGAGAAAGGGUGGAAGAGAGGGAGAAUGAGAGAGAGAGAGAAUGAGAGAGAGGGAGAGAGAAAGGAUGAGGGAACGAGAUAUGAAUGACAUUCACUUCUCCUUUACUAAUUACCUGUGCCAAUUCAUGCGAACCCUUCCACAGGGGCAAAGUGCUUUUUUGAUGCGCGACAUCAAACCGCUGAUGCGGGAUUAUGAGCCAAUUUAAUGAUUUUCUUGUCACCCGAUAUUCUUUCUAUGACUGGCCUUAUUUGUUUUAGCCUAAUUUAAUUAAUUGUGUAAUGUUUUGUGUUCACAUUCUGUGUGUUCAUGUUCUGUGUGAAACAUAAGUUCAGUAUAUAGCCUCUUUGAGUGAAUGAAAUUUGAAAGUGUGAGUGAAUGAAAAAUGUGUGCAUGUAUGGUGGGUCAAGUUUCUGUAUUUGAUGAAUAAACCCCUUUUCUCUAAUGUUUCCUACCAUAUAAUUUCUGUGGACAUUAUGCGCUAUAGCUUUGGCUAUAGGCGUACACUUAAAUAAUUCAUUCAUCUGUCAAGGCAGUAGCUCGUUGUAUAAA